GAUGAACGCUGGCGGCGUGCUUAACACAUGCAAGUCGAACGAUGAUGCCCAGCUUGCUGGGUGGAUUAGUGGCGAACGGGUGAGAAACACGUGAGUAACCUGCCCUUGACUCUGGGAUAAGCCUGGGAAACUGGGUCUAAUACCGGAUACGACCAUCUGGCGCAUGUCAUGGUGGUGGAAAGCUUUUGUGGUUUUGGAUGGACUCGCGGCCUAUCAGCUUGUUGGUGGGGUAAUGGCCUACCAAGGCGACGACGGGUAGCCGGCCUGAGAGGGUGACCGGCCACACUGGGACUGAGACACGGCCCAGACUCCUACGGGAGGCAGCAGUGGGGAAUAUUGCACAAUGGGCGCAAGCCUGAUGCAGCGACGCCGCGUGAGGGAUGACGGCCUUCGGGUUGUAAACCUCUUUCAGUAGGGAAGAAGCGAAAGUGACGGUACCUGCAGAAGAAGCGCCGGCUAACUACGUG
rnacentral:rRNA from 1 species